GGUUUCUCUGUGUAUAGUCAUGGCUGUCUGGAACUCACUCUGUACACCAGGCUGGCCUCGAACUCAGAAAUCUGCCUGCCUCUGCCUCCCAAGUGCUGGGAUUAAAGACGUGAUCCACCACCACCUGGCAAACAGGAUGAAUUGAACAUGAAUUUUCUUUUGUCGAUCAUGUGGGUAUGCUGGAAGGCCACAAGCUUUUCAUCCAGGAUCUAUAAAUUGCUGCUCUGGCAGUGGCAAGCAUGUUUUCCUCUGAGACUUACUUAGACUCACAUAUCCUAAUCAAGAACUUCCAAGAUAUGUUGACAUGGAAGAUUCCCCAGAAUAUUCCAGAAUGACUCAAAUACAUACUUGAAAACUCUAAA